ACUCCUACGGGAGGCAGCAGUGGGGAAUAUUGCACAAUGGGCGCAAGCCUGAUGCAGCCAUGCCGCGUGUAUGAAGAAGGCCUUCGGGUUGUAAAGUACUUUCAGCAGUGAGGAAGGUGGGUAUGUUAAUAGCAUAUUCAUUUGACGUUAGCUGCAGAAGAAGCACCGGCUAACUCCGUGCCAGCAGCCGCGGUAAUACGGAGGGUGCGAGCGUUAAUCGGAAUUACUGGGCGUAAAGCGCAUGCAGGUGGUUUGUUAAGUCAGAUGUGAAAGCCCGGGGCUCAACCUCGGAAUUGCAUUUGAAACUGGCAAACUAGAGUACUGUAGAGGGGGGUAGAAUUUCAGGUGUAGCGGUGAAAUGCGUAGAGAUCUGAAGGAAUACCGGUGGCGAAGGCGGCCCCCUGGACAGAUACUGACACUCAGAUGACGAAAGCGUGGGAGCAAACAGGAUUAGAUACCCUGGUAGCUCUGC
rnacentral:rRNA from 1 species